AAAUGAGUAUUUUAAACGCAAAUAAGCUUUAAAGUAAACGCUUGUGUUGAAAAGUUGGUGUUACCGUUUCAAGGAAGAUAAACUAUAGUCUUGAGUUAAUCGUUUCGAGUAUAAUUCAUGUAAGAGUGCAUUCAUUUUCAGGCUACCUAAAGAAACUUAAAAUUUUCAAUAAAUCAGGUACAUAUCGGGUAGAUUUCUUAUGUACACUAGUGCACAUAUCAAUUAUCUGCAUGUUUACUGAAGUAAACAAAGCAUUCAAGAUCCUAUGACCAAAAAUGGAGCAACAAACACCCCACUAUGACCCCAACAUUAUCAACUGCGAUGACAUACCCGACACCAUCUCAAUAGCAUCAACUGCAGAAAAACUUAAAAAGCCAAAGAAGAAACUGAAAAGAAAAAUUAACUUUUACAAGAACAUGGAUAAUCUGUUAAUAACCACGAAGAUAAAAAAAAAGAAAAAGUUUAAAUGUGUUUUGUACUGUGAGGGCUCGGAGUCUAUAGUAAGGUCUGCGUAUAAUGUGUGCAGGGAAGAGGCAUACUAUGAGAGGAUUGUGCCGAUUUGUUUGAGAGACAUGUGUACAGAUAUUUCUGGAUGUUGCAGGUCGACAUUGAGCAGAGAAAAGAAAAAUCUCAACCCGAAAGACGGCAGCCUCUCCCCCGUAUCCUCUAUAGCCCUAACAGACGCUUUUGCUUAUAACAACCUCUCAUACGAAGACGUCAGCAAUGGAAGCUUCUCGAGUGACUCUGAGGAGUUGGACACGCUCAUUAAACGGACUAAACAGCGUGAGAAAGAAAUCAGACAUUUGUACCCAUCACGAGAGUACACAAGCACACCAAUUUCAAAAAUCGACUAUAUACCCACACCCAGUCCAUAUAGUAUCGAUACAGAUAAGAAAUCUAUACAUUCUGACAACACUAUGGUACUAAACCCAAUUUCCGAUGCCUAUUCUCCAACUCCGUCAUUAUUAGAUGCAAUAAAAAUAGAAGACGACGUAAUAUCUAAUGAUGUUAAUGGACCUUACUCCCCUGAUUUGAUAAAAAUAGGAAAUAUGGAUUAUUCUCCCGUAAGAACGGAUAAUGGUAAUGAGCCAUAUUCUCCUACGUUUACCCCAGAAAGUAUUGAAUUAGAUGAAACUACAAUAAAUCCCAACGUGAAUGGACCUGCAUGCUCAUCUGUUUUUGUCAAAAUGGAAAAUGUAGAUAAUACCACAAUGAACAACGAUGUAAAUGAACAAUAUUCGCCUACUAUUACCCCAGGCAUCAAAAAGGAAGAUCUAAACAGAUUGAACAUGAAUGCAUAUGAAAAUGUAAGGUAUUCUCCUAGUUCACCAACUGCAACUCCAGAUUACCACAAAUACGCUGUUACUACACAAAGUAAUGCUAAGAAAAAUCUAAAUGCAGCAUCUACUAUUACAAUGAUUAAACAAGAGAUGAUAAAUGAUGAAUAUGUUGCUAAUAAUUGUAAUAGUUCUCCAAAAUCUGCUUUGGAAAAAGAUUGGAUAAAAGAGAAGCUAGUGAGGAAUAUAAUGAUUACGCUCCUGAAACUGAUUAUAACAUGAACAAUACAAUUUAUUUUAAGAAUAGAAGGAAUAAUAGUAACAAAAGAAAACAAAGUGCAGCUGUUACCAAUGAAACAAUUGUAAAAAUGGAAAAAGAAGACUAUAUAAAUAUCGGUUCGGACUCGAUGGAAAAUAAAUAUCUCAACCCGAAAGACGGCAGCCUCUCCCCCGUAUCCUCUAUAGCCCUAACAGACGCUUUUGCUUAUAACAACCUCUCAUACGAAGACGUCAGCAAUGGAAGCUUCUCGAGUGACUCUGAGGAGU